UCCGAAUUGGUGUAACGGUUAACAUUGCACGUUUUCACCGUGCGGCUCGGGGUUCGAUUCCCCGAUUCGGAG